rnacentral:lncRNA from 1 species
GUCCCUGUUAAACGGCGAAUAGGGCCCUGAGCAGACCGUGCCUUUAGUCCGGGGAAGCUCCGGGUUUAGGUGGGUCUCUCGGUUGGGCUUUCCCCCACCAAGGACCCCUUUUUCCCCUGCAGAAGCCACGUUUGCAGCACCACAUCCCCCGGAUGACCGUGCCCGCUGACUCACCGGAGGCUUCAUAACUCGGAGGACGUUGUUUGUUUUCUGAACUGGCCUUGGGAUGGAAUUGUGUCUGCCUUAGACCAUUUUAAUGCAUUUCCCCAUGGAGGCCCAGUGUCCCCCAAAGUGGUUGCCAUUAUAAAAAACUUGCUCCAGAAUUAUAGUAGAGAAGUGGAUGCAUGUUCGAUUCCUGCACUCCCCGCCUACAGACCUCAGAGCCCAGGCCAUGGCAGUAUUGCAAAGGGACAACAAACCCAUGGGUCCCUCCAGAAUGGACUGUAAAUGAAAUAUGUUCUAGUGUCUUUAAAGAAUAAAAUAGAAAUUUAUUUAAAAGUGUUGCAAAAUUCAUAGUAGCUCAUGAAUAUGUAUUUCUCCAACACC